rnacentral:rRNA from 1 species
AUGGUAAGCUUCUCUUCUUUUUUUCUUUGCUUGUUGCCGAGUUCAUGGUGGCCGACUCCUGACCAGCCGGCUUUUCUUUGGCAGAACCCCGCGCUUCCGCCGGCAACCGGGGCUGCGGGGGUGGAACGCCAGUUCCUCCCUGACCGCAUGAUGGACGACAUUGACGACCCGGACCUGGGGCGGCCGCCAUGGAAGAAGACGUCGCAGGGGAGGGCGGCGAGGCAGGCGGCUCUGGGCUCGGGGCCUCCUUCGAGGAUUGGCCGGAUGAUGCCGAGGCCGAAGUUGUUCCGCGCCGUUAGUCGGUGCCCGAUCACCAAAGCGCGGGCCCAUCCGCCACGCCGGCUCUCCAUGGCGGCGCGUAGAAAAGCCGGGCCGCGUCGACCUACUUCGGCAGUCGGCCCAAGAAGCCCAAGAGUACCGCGGCGGCGACCAAGCGGGAUGAGACGGCCGCGAAGGCGGCCCGCUUCCGCAAGGUGGUGA